ACUUUUUUCUUAGUAGAGUCGCUGCCCUUCAUUCACAAUACACACGUGAAAAAAUGGAGCAUCCUAUACAUCCAUAAAUCGCUUCAUGCUUGAUGCGUGAGCAAUGGACGUGUUUCGGGGAGUUUAUUUACGUUUACGGUCACCAAACGAAUAUGUCAAGACUGGAAGCGACCAUUUAUCGUGAAAAGUAGUGGUUAUUUCGUUGAGUGGCGAAUUACUCGGCAGCCGCUAAAUAGGCUGAAGCCUACAGGCCGCCUUUUUGAGAGGCCAGUUUUAUUUAGCCAUAGUUUUUACUCUUUGCCAUUCCAGACUAGCUAAAUGUUCUAAAGUUCGACCAAAUAUGCUGUUGGAAACUGUACGACCUAUUGUUUUAAUGCACAAUGAACAGAACUCAUAAAGUAUGGUAGUUUACCUCGUUUGAACUUUAAAAUUAUUCCUCAUUGUUUACAUUAUGAGUUACAAACAGAAGCCGAGAAAGGCGAAAGCAAAGGAGGAUGAGAAACGUAAGCGUCCAAAGGCACUGAAAUUAUUUGGAAGAAUAGAUAUCAUUUGAAGGCCCACAAUUUUAUCUUAGAGCUCCUGUAUUUAGUAAUAUGCCACUGAAUAAAGUUAUUGUAUAAAGCAAA